rnacentral:tRNA from 1 species
GGAGAGGUGACCGAGCGGCCGAAGGUGCACGACUGGAAAUCGUGUGUCCGGGGAACCGGACCGUGGGUUCAAAUCCCACCCUCUCCG